GUUAAUAAGCUUAUAAAGCAUAUGUUUUGAAAACAUAAGAUAGAAGUUUAAUUCUUCUAUUAACUUAAAGUUACUAAAUUUAUUACA
rnacentral:tRNA from 2 species